rnacentral:rRNA from 1 species
UAACAGCUCAAAUUUGAAAUCUGGCUCCUCGGGGCCCGAAUUGUAAUUUGUAGAAGAUGCUUUGGGUCUGGGCCUGGCCUAAGUUCCUUGGAACAGGACGUCGUAGAGGGUGAGAAUCCCGUAUGCGGCUGGCGCCCGUGCCCGUGUAAAGCUCUUUCAACGAGUCGAGUUGUUUGGGAAUGCAGCUCUAAAUGGGUGGUAAAUUUCAUCUAAAGCUAAAUAUUGGCCAGAGACCGAUAGCGCACAAGUAGAGUGAUCGAAAGAUGAAAAGCACUUUGGAAAGAGAGUUAAACAGUACGUGAAAUUGUUGAAAGGGAAGCGCUGGCAACCAGACUUGGGCGCUGUUGAUCCGCUAGGGUUCUCUCUAGGGCACUCGGCAGUGCGCAGGCCAGCAUCGGUUUGGGGGGUUGGAGAAUGGCUGGUGGAAUGUGGCUGUCUUUGGGCAGUGUUAUAGCCACCGGUGGCAUGCAGCCUCCCCGGACCGAGGACCGCGCUUCGGCUAGGAUGCUGGCGUAAUGGUUGUCAGCGACCCG